UACGAAGGGGGCUAGCGUUGUUCGGAUUUACUGGGCGUAAAGCGCACGUAGGCGGAUCGUUAAGUCGGGGGUGAAAUCCUGGAGCUCAACUCCAGAACUGCCUUCGAUACUGGCGAUCUUGAGUCCGGAAGAGGUGAGUGGAACUGCGAGUGUAGAGGUGAAAUUCGUAGAUAUUCGCAAGAACACCAGUGGCGAAGGCGGCUUACUGGUCCGGUUCUGACGCUGAGGCGCGAAAGCGUGGGGAGCAAACAGG
rnacentral:rRNA from 1 species